UGCCACUCACCUCCUUAUGAAUAGCAUGACCACUCUCUCUGAAAAUCAUCUCCAUACUUGUCUCUGCCCCCCAUUUUAUCUAUGGAAUAUGGGUUUAAGUCUGAGGCACAAUAACUACUCCCUCAGUAUAAGUAUAAAUUUCUUCAUAAAUUUCCUCAAUCGUGACCGUAGGAUUUCUUCCUUGCUCACUGUGCAUCUCUUUGGUCUCAAAGCCUAUGACAAAACGAUGGUUCAAUAGAGGCCUACAUCCUUCCAUUAUCCACUGGGUCGGGUUGAAAUUUGGUCCUUCGCUCAUUCUCUGUAGACUAUGCCACCUUUUUUUUCCUUUUCCUUUUCCUUUAUCCUGAUGCAGUAUCGCUGGGUUGGGUCCAUUAUGUUAUGUACUUCUUCCAUGCUAACGUCCCCAAUAAUGUCCUUCGUAUGUUGCUGACUGGGAAGCCUGGAUCAUACUCUUGUUGCACCAGCAUACCUUCGUUCCCCCGAAGUAAUAGCUAUAGGUCUUAAAGAUUCUAUAAUAUCUCAAAUUGGUGCUGCUUUUGUCCAUUCUCCAUACCUUGCCAUACCACCCUUCAUGGGUUCAAAGGAACAUUCAGUGUUAGAGUGUCCAAUUCUACCACAUCAGUAACAAAAGUCUUUUAAUCUUUCGUACCGAAACUCAAUCCAAGUAUCAUUAUUAUUGUCUCUUGGGAGCCAACACCUUAUGGUCAGAGGGUUCAAGGUGUUUACAACUACCUUUACUCUCAGGAAUCCUCGAACUUUCGCUUGGUCUUCAAAUUCCUCAACUCCCCAAUUUUUGUUGCUAGACGCUUCACAUUUUCUUCCGAGUUGAGAUUUGGUGGU
rnacentral:lncRNA from 1 species